UGCAGAUUCACAUAAAUACCUCUCUCUCUCUCUCUCUCGUGAUGAAAUGAGUGGAUGAGUAGCGUGCAAGAGAAGAUAAUUUAGGUCAGUGUAAUGCUGUGCUGUGUGGAUAGAGAUAAUUUAGGUCAGUGUAAUGCUGUGCUGUGUGGAUAGAGAUAAUUUAGGUCAGUGUAAUGCUGUGCUGUGUGGAUAGAGAUAAUUUAGGUCAGUGUAAUGCUGUGCUGUGUGGAUAGAGAUAAUUUAGGUCAGUGUAAUGCUGUGCUGUGUGGAUAGAGAUAAUUUAGGUUAGUGUAAUGCUGUGCUGUGUGGAUAGAGAUAAUUUAGGUCAGUGUAGUGCUGUACUGUGUGGAUAGAGAUAAUAACCCAUAUAGCCAGCGACUGAAGUGUUUGGACUUCAGCAUGCCUGUUUGGCCCUGUCCGGGGGCAUCAUUGGAUGGGGCCACAGUGUCUCCUGACCCCUUCUGUCUCAGCCUCCAGUAUUUAUGCUGCAGUAGUUUAUGUGUCGGGGGGCUAGGGUCAGUCUGUUAUAUCUGGAGUAUUUCUCCUGUCUUAUCUGGUGUCCUGUGUGAAUUUAAGUAUGCUCUCUCUAAUUCUCUCUUUCUUUCUUUCUCUCUCUCUCUCUCGGAGGACCUGAGCCCUAGGACCAUGCCUCAGGACUACCUGGCAUGAUGACUUCUUGCUGUCCCCAGUCCACCUGGCCGUGCUGCUGCUCCAGUUUCAACUGUUCUGCCUGCGGCUAUGGAACCCUGACCUGUUCACCGGACGUGUUACCUGUCCCAGACCUACUGUUUUCAACUCUCUACAGACAGCAGGAGCGGUAGAGAUACUCUCAAUGAUUGGCUAUGAAAAGCCAACUGACAUUUACUCCUGAGGUGCUGACCUGUUGCACCCUCGACAACUACUGUGAUUAUUAUUAUUUGACAAUGCUGGUCAUUUAUGAACAUUUGAACAUCUUGGCCAUGUUCUGUUAUAAUCUCCACCCGGCACAGCCAGAAGAGGACUGGCCACCCCUCAUAGCCUGGUUCCUCUCUAGGUUUCUUCCUAGGUUUUGGCCUUUCUAGGGAAUUUUUCCUAGCCACCGUGCUUCUACACCUGCAUUGCUUGCUGUUUGGGGUUUUAGGCUGGGUUUCUGUACAGCACUUUGAGAUAUCAGCUGAUGUAAGAAGGGCUAUAUAAAUACAUUUGAUUUGAUAUUAUUGCCUAGAUAAUAUGAGAAAGACUGCCAGGCUGCUACACUGCCUUACCAACACACCACCAAGACUCAGCUGCCAGGCUGCUACACUGCCUUACCAACUCACCACCAAGACUCAGCUGCCAGGCUGCUACACUGCCUUACCAACUCACCACCAAGACUCAGCUGCCAGGCUGCUACACUGCCUUACCAACUCACCACCAAGACUCAGCUGCCAGGCUGCUACACUGCCUUACCAACUCACCACCAAGACUCAGCUGCCAGGCUGCUACACUGCCUUACCAACUCACCACCAAGACUCAGCUUUCAAUUUAG
rnacentral:lncRNA from 1 species